UAACCUGCCCAAGAGAUCGGGAUAACACCUGGAAACAGAUGCUAAUACCGGAUAACAACAGAUGAUGCCUAUCAACUGUUUAAAAGAUGGUUCUGCUAUCACUCUUGGAUGGACCUGCGGUGCAUUAGCUAGUUGGUAGGGUAACGGCCUACCAAGGCGAUGAUGCAUAGCCGAGUUGAGAGACUGAUCGGACACAUUGGGACUGAGACACGGCCCAAACUCCUACGGGAGGCAGCAGCC
rnacentral:rRNA from 1 species